rnacentral:lncRNA from 1 species
CUCAUAUUUUGCCCUCUCCAUCCACAGCUUGUUCUCAGCUCUCUCCUUGCAUGAAUCAACAGCAGUUCCAGGACAGGGAGACACCAUCAGGAACUUAGCCUUCACACAGAAAGACUCCAGAUCUCAGAGAGCAGUGCCCAAGAUGCCCAGACAGAACCCUGGUAUUUUCUACUGUGAGUUUCAUGCUGCAAAUACACAAUAAACAAAUCAACAGUUAUUUUGCAUAUAUACCCAGGUUUCUUCAUUUAUUUGAAAAGAAGAAGGAGGAAUGAAGAAAAAUGGACAGAGACUGGAGUGCAGUGGCAUGAUCACAGCUCACUGCAGCCUCAACUUCCUGGGCUCAGAUGAUUCUCCCACUUCAGCCUCCUGAGUAGCUGGGACUACAGUGUACCCUACCAUACCCAGAUGGAGUCUGUCACACAGGCUGGAGUACAGUGGCAUGAUCUCAGCUCACUACAACCUCUGCCUCCUGGGUUCAAGUGAUUUUCCUGCCUCAGCCUCCUGAGUAGCUGGGAUUACAGGUGCCCACCAACAUGCCCAACUAAUUUUUGUAUUUUUAGUAGAGAAGAGGUUUGGCCAUGUUGGCCAUGCUGGUCUCGAGCUCGUGACCUCAAGGGAUCCAUCCACCCACCUCAGCUUCCCAA